GCUAGUGUUGCAAAGGCCAUAAAUGAGGCCUACCCAAACCCUACUACCCUAAAACAUGUGACUCCAGCAUUCCUCAGGGACAUUCUCCACAGGACCGGCGUGGAUAACAUCACCAAAGACGACAAACUCAGUCUUUUGGAGUACAUUUUGGGUGAUGAACAAUACAAAGAACUUGAGGGUCUUCACCUCCUUCCACUCAGUGAUGGCUCUUUCAGAUCUUUCACAUACAAAGAGGAAGACACUGCUUUGAUUGACAGCCAUGAAUUUCCAAGAGUCUUGCUGCCAUUCUGUAAACCCUUGUUCAUCCCACAUGAUCUGACUCCAGCCUGCAGUGCCCAUCUGAAAGAACUGGCCAGAAGAAAUUUCUUCAAGGUCAUCAACAUUGAUGCAUCCCAUUUGGCUGAAUAUGCAAGACGAUAUUUGCCACCAGACUGGAAGCAGACAGGGAAGAACCUUGUUACAUGG